GAGUCUGUUGCGGAUGAAGCGCAGUUGCUUGCUAAGCGGCAGGCCACAGGUUCGACUCCUGUCAGGCGCACCA
rnacentral:tRNA from 1 species